UACGUAGGGUGCAAGCGUUGUCCGGAAUUAUUGGGCGUAAAGAGCUUGUAGGCGGUUUGUCGCGUCUGCUGUGAAAUUUCGGGGCUCAACCCCGAACUUGCAGUGGGUACGGGCAGACUAGAGUGUGGUAGGGGGGACUGGAACUCCUGGUGUAGCGGUGGAAUGCGCAGAUAUCAGGAGGAACACCGAUGGCGAAGGCAGGUCUCUGGGCCGCUACUGACGCUGAGAAGCGAAAGCAUGGGGAGCGAACAGG
rnacentral:rRNA from 1 species